GGGGCUAUAGCUCAGUUGGGAGAGCGUCCGGCUGGCAGCCGGGAGGUCGUCGGUUCGAGCCCGACUAGCUCCA
rnacentral:tRNA from 1 species